GGCCGCCGUGGCCGAGUGGUAACGCUCGCGACUUUGACUCGGCUGGUCGUGGGUUCAAGGCCCACCACAGUCC